rnacentral:rRNA from 1 species
AACGAACGCUGGCGGCAGGCCUAACACAUGCAAGUCGAACGAUCCUUCGGGAUAGUGGCGCACGGGUGCGUAACGCGUGGGAAUAUACCUAUAGGUAAGGAAUAACUGCUGGAAACGGUAGCUAAUACCUUAUAAUGACUCCGGUCCAAAGAUUUAUCGCCUAUAGAUUAGCCCGCGUCUGAUUAGCUAGUUGGUGAGGUAAUGGCUCACCAAGGCGACGAUCAGUAGGGGGUCUGAGAGGAUGAUCCCCCACACUGGGACUGAGACACGGCCCAGACUCCUACGGGAGGCAGCAGUGAGGAAUAUUGCACAAUGGAGGAAACUCUGAUGCAGCCAUGCCGCGUGAGUGAAGAAGGCCUUAGGGUUGUAAAGCUCUUUCAAUAGUGAAGAUAAUGACGGUAGCUAUAGAAGAAGCCCCGGCUAAAUUCGUG